UACAGAGGUCUCAAGCGUUGUUCGGAUUCAUUGGGCGUAAAGGGUGCGUAGGUGGCGAGGUAAGUUUGAUGUGAAAUCUCCGAGCUCAACUCGGAAAUGGCAUUGAAUACUAUCCCGCUUGAGGGUCGGAGGGGAGACUGGAAUUCUCGGUGUAGCAGUGAAAUGCGUAGAUAUCGGGAGGAACACCAGCGGCGAAGGCGGCACUCUGGGCUGGAACUGACGCUGAGGAGCGAAAGCGUGGGUAGCAAACAGG
rnacentral:rRNA from 1 species